GAUGAACGCUGGCGGCGUGCUUAAUACAUGCAAGUCGAGCGGACGGACGAGGAGCUUGCUGCUUUGAUGUUUGCGGCGGACGGGUGAGUAACGUGUGGAUAACGCACCUAUCAGACUGGGAUAAUUUCGGGAAAGCGGAGCUUAUACCGGAGGAUCUCUUGCACCGCAUGGUUCAAAGGAGAAAGACGGUCUUGGUGGCACGUCUAGAUGCAUCUGCGCUGCAUUAGCUAGUUGGGAAGGUAACGGCUUACCAAGGGAACGAUGCAUAGCCGACGUGAGAGGGUGAUAGGCGACACUAGAACUGAGACACGGUCCAGACUCCUACGAGAGGCAGCAGUAGGCAAUCUUCCGCAAUGGGCGAAAGCCUGACGGAACAACGCCGCGUCAGUGAUGAAGGUCUUCGGAGCGUAAAACUCUGUUAUUAGGGAAGAACAUAUGUGUAAGUAACUGUGCACAUCUUGACGGUACCUAAUCAGAAAGCCACGGCUAACUACGUG
rnacentral:rRNA from 1 species